rnacentral:misc_RNA from 1 species
GCAAACUUGGUCAUUUAGAGGAAGUAAAAGUCGUAACAAGGUUUCCGUAGGUGAACCUGCGGAAGGAUCAUUAUUGAGAGAUAUAAUAAUAAUUUGUUGUUGCUGGCUUUUUAAAAAGCAAUUGUGCACGCAAGUUUUUACACAUACACCUUGUGAACUAUUAUGGAACUGGGUUUUCCAUUACUACACACACACACUUUGUUUAUGAUGUGGGCAUAAAUAUAAUUAUUACAACUUUCAACAACGGAUCUCUUGGCUCUUGCAUCGAUGAAGAACGCAGC